UAUGGGAAUGCAAUUUGGCCCCAGGAGAAUGGGGGUGAUGAUUCUGUGAAUGGAGAGACUGGUCAUCCCACACAGCUGGAUAGCAAGCCAUGGCGUCCGCUCACUCGUAAACUGAAGAUCCCUGCAGCGAUUCUGAGCCCGUACAGGUUGCUUAUUUUAAUUCGAAUGGCUGUACUUUCCCUAUUCCUCAUGUGGAGAAUUGAAAACAAA
rnacentral:misc_RNA from 1 species